rnacentral:rRNA from 1 species
GACGAACGCUGGCGGCGUGCUUAACACAUGCAAGUCGAACGGAAAGGCCCUGCUUUUGUGGGGUGCUCGAGUGGCGAACGGGUGAGUAACACGUGAGUAACCUGCCCUUGACUUUGGGAUAACUUCAGGAAACUGGGGCUAAUACCGGAUAGGAGCUCCUGCUGCAUGGUGGGGGUUGGAAAGUUUCGGCGGUUGGGGAUGGACUCGCGGCUUAUCAGCUUGUCGGUGGGGUAGUGGCUUACCAAGGCUUUGACGGGUAGCCGGCCUGAGAGGGUGACCGGCCACAUUGGGACUGAGAUACGGCCCAGACUCCUACGGGAGGCAGCAGUGGGGAAUAUUGCACAAUGGGCGGAAGCCUGAUGCAGCAACGCCGCGUGCGGGAUGACGGCCUUCGGGUUGUAAACCGCUUUCGCCUGUGACGAAGCGUGAGUGACGGUAAUGGGUAAAGAAGCACCGGCUAACUAUGUG